CAGUCGCCACGGUAAUACGUAGGUCCCGAGCGUUGUCCGGAUUUAUUGGGCGUAAAGCGAGCGCAGGCGGUUUGAUAAGUCUGAAGUUAAAGGCUGUGGCUCAACCAUAGUUCGCUUUGGAAACUGUCAAACUUGAGUGCAGAAGGGGAGAGUGGAAUUCCAUGUGUAGCGGUGAAAUGCGUAGAUAUAUGGAGGAACACCGGUGGCGAAAGCGGCUCUCUGGUCUGUAACUGACGCUGAGGCUCGAAAGCGUGGGGAGCAAACAGGAUUAGAUACCCCCGUAGUCCCUGUCUCUUAUACA
rnacentral:rRNA from 1 species